CCUACGGGAGGCAGCAGUGGGGGAUAUUGGACAAUGGGGGGAACCCUGAUCCAGCGACGCCGCGUGAGUGAAGAAGUAUUUCGGUAUGUAAAGCUCUGUCAGCAGGGAAGAAAGAAAUGACGGUACCUGACCAAGAAGCCUCGGCUAACUACGCGCCAGCAGCCGCGGUACUACGUAGGGGGCAAGCGUUAUCCGGAAUUACUGGGUGUAAAGGGAGCGUAGACGGUUAAGUAAGUCUGGAGUGAAAGGCCGGGGCGCAACCCCGGAACUGCUCUGGAAACUAUUGCACUUGAGUGCGGGAGAGGUAAGUGGAAUUCCUGGUGUAGCGGUGAAAUGCGUAGAUAUUGGGAAGAACACCAGUGGCGAAGGCGGCUUACUGGACUGUAACUGACGUUGAGGCUCGAAAGCGUGGGGAGCAAACAGGAUUAGAUACCCCUGUAGUC
rnacentral:rRNA from 1 species